UAGGAAAAGGCUUAUAGCCGCACUUCUUACCGCCGGCGAGUACGAUUUAAAGAUGCCAGCGGUAAGGCCUUCCAAGGUCACCUCACCUUACCGCCGGCAAGCUUGAAUCGAAAACGCCGGGGGUACCUGCAUUAUCACCGGCGAAUUUGGUACGUAGGUGCCAGCGUUAUAUUGGGCCGCAAGACCACCGUUGGGUUUGGCGUUAUCGCUGGCGAAUGCAACUCAUUGACGCCGGGGUUAAUGGGCCUUACUGCAGGCCAACACGGCUCGUAGGCGCCGGGGGUAAUUUGGGCCAACAUUACCUCUCGUCCACUCUUUCCUUAUCCUUACCCAUAUGGCCGUAUGUCUCGUCUUCUCCCCCACCAAUAACACCUCCUCCCCAGCGCCAGAUCGCCGCCGCUGCCUUUUCUCCUGCACCAGCUCCGACCCGACGCCACCCCACCGGUUGACCUCGCCGUCGACACAGAUGGUUCUGCAGCGCCGGCCCUACCGCAGCUCCCCCACAUGGUGCGCGACGACGAGGCCCAGAAGGUGCGCUCCAGCAUGUGCUCGCCCUGCCGCGACGACUUACCUUGACCCCGCCGACCGCCCAGGACCUCCUUGGCCGGCAUCAUCCAUAGGGAGAGAAAUUUGAUGCCCAAUCGAAUGGAUCAUCAGGUCGGCGGAGGAGGGACGAAGGGUGUGGUGUAGGCCGGUAGCGCCCACGCUCCCAGGUGAAGGGCGGCGACUAUGGCCUUGGCCUUGGCGCGGUUGUGGCGCCUCCAUUACCAUGAGCAGCCCGGGUGCUCCAAAGGUGAAGGGUGGCGGCCAUGGGAAGAUGUUGGUGCAGGUACGAGAGAUCACAUGCCCGUGCUCACAAGGCGACGGCCAUGGCGACGGUGGGAGUAGAGGGAGCUGUGGUGGCGUAGAGCGGCACGGAUUCAUGGGGAAGCAGAGCAACUGGAUCUGAGCAUCCGGACUCUGCCAUACACCGUGAGCCCCUUGUUUUUUUAGAUCCGGCUAUUCACGAUGCAAGGAUUCGUUGGAUUUUUCCGCUUCUUUAUGUAAUUACUUCUUCUGUUUUUAAUCUUUGUUGCUCCCUGAGA